GACGAACGUUGGCGGCGUGCUUAAUACAUGCAAGUCAACUGAAGCAGUGGUAGCAAUAUCGCUGUGGAGGUGGCGCACGGGUGAGUAACACGUAGGUAAUCUGCCUUCAGGUCUGGCAUAACUCCGGGAAACCGGGGCUAAUAGCAGAUGAUGCAGCGGCGCGACAUCGAGACAGUUGUUAAAGCUAUGGCGCCUGAAGAUGAGCCUGCGUCUGAUUAGCUAGUUGGCGGGGUAACGGCCCACCAAGGCAACGAUCAGUAGCUGGUCUGAGAGGAUGAUCAGCCACACUGGAACUGAGACACGGUCCAGACUCCUACGGGAGGCAGCAGUAAGGAAUAUUGCUCAAUGGGAGAAAUCCUGAAGCAGCAACGCCGCGUGAGGGACGAAGGGCUUUUGCUUGUAAACCUCUGUAGUGAGAGAAAAAAUCCCAAUCUUUGGGACAUGAUGGUAUCUCAAAAGUAAGCCCCGGCUAACUACGUG
rnacentral:rRNA from 1 species